AGGUAACUCUACUACACAAAAAACCUUAGUAACACAUUUGUCUAACCAUUCCAGGGUGAUUCAGUCUCCAACCAUUCUGAUCCAGUAUUUCAGUUUUAUUUGUAUCAGAUCAUGGUCUUCAGAAUAGGCAUCUACAACAAAAUAUUUUAAGUGAUGAGAUCAAAGUUGUUUUUCAAUCAAUUACAAAGAUGACUCUUUAAAAAAUUAGCACUGCCAAUAAUACUGAAAAUCCAUUUAGGAAUGAUGAUGCAUGAAGAUGUUCUACCCUUGCCAGAGUCAGCAGGGAAAAUAAUGGUUCCUUCCAUGGGCCAAAUUUUUCUGGUGCUGCCUGAGAAAAUACUAUAUAUAUUUACCAUAUAUAUUUACCUUUGCGUAAAUGUGAGAAUGAGACUUUUGCUGUGUUUUAGGGGAAGGUUGAGCUCCUAUCAACUGUGACAUCCACGUUGACAUAAAAUUCAGAUAUUUUUCACAGUUCCAUUUACUUGAAUUGGAAGACACCACAAGGACCAACCAGUCCAACUGCCAACCAUGAGCCACCAUGGCAAGGUCCAACCUACUCAAGAAAGAUUUCCUUCAUUGCACAGCCCUAAGCUUGGUACAAGGAUUUCCAAAUGGUGUCCUCUUCUGGAUAUUUUCCAGCUUGUCGAUCUCAUUCUUAAACUUGUACUCCAGGAGUGUCCAGACCAAAGUAGAAUGCACAGUUAUUAUUGCUUUCCAUGAUGUGGGCACUAUAUCUGCUGAUUCAACCUAGCAUAGCUCUAGCUUUUAUACCACUGCACUCUGUUGUUGAUAAAUAGUUAGCUUGUGGUCUGUAAAGAGUAUGGAUCUUUUUUGCUGUCAAACCAGAUGUCACCCAACAUCGUAAAUAUGUGCAUUUGAUUUUUACUGGCUAAAUGUAGUACCUUACAUUCAACCCUGACAACAUUCAUUUUGUUGAUAUUAUCCUUCAGUCUAUUAUGGUCAUUUUGAAAUUUGGUUCACUGUUUUUCAAAAAUGUAUUGUAGCCUAUAAAUGAUUCAACAGUAGAUGUAUAUUCAAAGCAGAGUUAAGCUUUGAAUUUUUUAAAAGUAUGACAGGGUUAACUACAUGUUUAAUUUUCCUACUGAGCUCUGAAGGACUUAGCAACAUCUAACUGUGGCUAUAUUUGAUUAUACCAUUAGUAAUUAAAUCAGAAACAAUUCAUAAUACAAAAACGAUUCCAUCUCCCUUUCCUAUCGGCUUUUCAUGAGUUUAACCACUGAUGACAUGUCAGGCAGAAAUUUAACAGGUGCCUCUUCCAGAAUGUAAAUUCAAUGAUCAAAUAUUUUCUGUUGAACAUCUGCCUUCAUGAAGCUUUUAAAGAGCAAUGCUUGGGGCUGGCAGUUGGAGCAAAGAAAUAAAAUCUCAUCCAUAAUUAGAAGUUUCCCAAACAUAAAUGUCAUCCAUUCCUGUUUAUAUCUGCCAAUUUGUUUGA